AUGUCCAACGCCCACGGCGGAGCCAUGGACGCCCGCAGCGGCUACUGCGCAACGACCAAGUCAUUCCGCAGCCUCCGCCCGCCGCUGCCGCUGCCGCCGGCGGACGCCCCGCUCACAUUCCCGUCCUUCGCGCUGUCGCUGCUGCCGUCCCCUCUCCCUGCCCACCCCGCGCUCCUCGACGCCGCCACCGGCGAGGCCGUCUCCUACCCGGCCUUCCUGUCCCAGGUGCGCGCGCUCGCGGCCGCCCUGCGCUCGCGCGCGCUCCCGCUCCCGCUCGGCCACGGCGACGUCGCCUUCGUCCUCGCCCCCUCGCGCCUCGACGUGCCCGUGCUCUACCUCGCGCUCCUCGCCGUCGGCGUCGCCGUGUCCCCGGCCAACCCGGCCCUCACCGCCGGCGAGCUGUCCCGCCUCGUCUCCCUGUCCGGCGCGUCCGUCGCCUUCGCGGUCUCCUCCACCGCCGCCAAGCUCCCCGCCGGCCUCCCCACCGUCCUCCUCGACUCCCCGCGCUUCCGCUCCCUCUUGCGCCACAACGAGGACCGAGGGGAGAACGAGUCGGCGCCCCCGCUCGACGCCGGCGCGGUGCACCAGUCCGCGACAGCGGCCAUCCAGUACUCCUCCGGCACGUCGGGGCGGGUGAAGGCGGUGGCGCUGUCGCACCAGAGCCUCAUAGCGAUGGCGGCGGGGCUGCACGCCCAGCACGUGAGGUCGAGGAAGGGCGUCGAGAGGAAUCUGAUGAGCGCUCCCAUGUUCCACUCCAUGGGCUUCUCGUCCGUGCUGAACGGGCUGGCGCAGGGGCGGACGAUGGUUGUGAUGACGGACGCGGCCGCGCGGGCAGGGCUGAGGGGGAUGCUGGAGGCGGCGGAGCGGUGGGAGGUCACGGAGAUAACGGCGGCGCCUCCCAUGGUGCUGGCGAUAACCAGAGACAGGUACCGGCUGAAGAGCCUGGUGCGGGUGGUCUGCGGCGGAGCCCCUCUGCCGACGCCGGUGGCGGAGCAGUUCCGUCGGCGCUUCCCUCACGUGGAUCUACGCACGGGUUAUGGCUCAACAGAGGCUGGGGCCGUAUCCUUGAUGGUCGACCGGGACGAGUGCUCCCACCUAGGCUCCGCUGGCCGCAUCAACCACAACGUCGAGGCGAAGAUCGUCGACAUCGUCACCGGCGAGCCCUUGUCCGUCGGGCAGAAAGGGGAGCUGUGUUUGUCCGUCGGGCACCGGCGAGCCCUUGUCCGUCGGGCAGAAGGAACAUGUCGCCGAAGCAUUUUAUUUUUCUUCCGCCUGUCACUUGUCAAUUCUCAUACCUAA
rnacentral:rRNA from 1 species